GUACAGUGAAUCUUUGGAGCUGGUGCUGC
rnacentral:piRNA from 1 species